rnacentral:rRNA from 1 species
GACGAACGCUGGCGGCGUGCUUAACACAUGCAAGUCGAACGGAAAGGCCCUGCUUUUGUGGGGUGCUCGAGUGGCGAACGGGUGUGUAACACGUGAGUAAUCCGCCCUUGACUUUGGGAUAACUUCAGGAAACUGGGGCUAAUACCGGAUAGGAGCUCCUGCUGCAUGGUGGGGGUUGGAAAGUUUCGGCGGUUGGGGAUGGACUCGCGGCUUAUCAGCUUGUUGGUGGGGUAGUGGCUUACCAAGGCUUUGACGGGUAGCCGGCCUGAGAGGGUGACCGGCCACAUUGGGACUGAGAUACGGCCCAGACUCCUACGGGAGGCAGCAGUGGGGAAUAUUGCACAAUGGGCGGAAGCCUGAUGCAGCGACGCCGCGUGCGGGAUGACGGCCUUCGGGUUGUAAACCGCUUUCGCCUGUGACGAAGCGUGAGUGACGGUAAUGGGUAAAGAAGCACCGGCUAACUACGUG